UGAUUGUACAUGCAUGUAUUUACCUAGAACAAAAUAAAAUUGUGGAAAGGGUCUUUAGCGAAACAAUGGAUUGUUACCAAUAUGUUUCAAUUCUAAAAAGUCUAAAAAUCUUUAAGCUAUUUAAAUUGACAUUCAAAACACCUGAACCCUAAAGCCAUGUAAGUUGGACUGUUUGCUAUUUGGUUUGACUUCAUACCUGAGGGUCCACCAUGCACCACUUCCUGCCUUACCUGUUCUGCUCCUGAGGGCAGGAAGUUCGUGUUGGGAGUUUCCAUUAACACUCCUGAGCCAAGAACCCAGUUCAUGGCCAUCUCUUUGGCUGAGAGCAUAAGUCGAUCACUGCCAUUGAGUUAUGCCGUGCUCCACCUGGCUUCGCAGAAAGCUUAUGGUUGUAGCAGGUCAGGGAAUGGCACCUAGUGGAUCCUGGGUAAGAAGAAUUACAUUGGGAAAGCGCCAAGGAAUUCUGAACCAUGCACUGUAAUGAUUAUGGUGCUUGAAGUGUUCAAAUCUGCACUCUGUCUCCCUUGC